rnacentral:rRNA from 1 species
UGAGGACAGUGUCUGGUGGGUAGUUUGACUGGGGCGGUCUCCUCCUAAAGAGUAACGGAGGAGCACGAAGGUUAGCUAAUCACGGUCGGACAUCGUGAGGUUAGUGCAAAGGCAUAAGCUAGCUUGACUGCGAGAGUGACGGCUCGAGCAGGUGCGAAAGCAGGUCUUAGUGAUCCGGUGGUUCUGAAUGGAAGGGCCAUCGCUCAACGGAUAAAAGGUACUCCGGGGAUAACAGGCUGAUACCGCCCAAGAGUUCAUAUCGACGGCGGUGUUUGGCACCUCGAUGUCGGCUCAUCACAUCCUGGGGCUGAAGUAGGUCCCAAGGGUACGGCUGUUCGCCGUUUAAAGUGGUACGCGAGCUGGGUUUAGAACGUCGUGAGACAGUUCGGUCCCUAUCUGCCGUGGGCGUUGGAAGAUUGAGAGGGGUUGCUCCUAGUACGAGAGGACCGGAGUGAACGCACCCCUGGUGUUCGGGUUGUCAUGCCAAUGGCACUGCCCGGUAGCUAAGUGCGGAAAAGAUAAGCGCUGAAAGCAUCUAAGCGCGAAACUUGCCUCGAGAUGAGUCUUCCCUGGGACCUUGAGUUCCCUGAAGGGACGUUUAAGACCAAGACGUUGAUAGGCCGGAUGUGUAAGUGCAGCGAUGCAUUGAGCUAACCGGUACUAAUGACCCGUGAGGCUUAACCUU